UCAAAAAACAAAUAAAUAAUAAACCCGUAACUUUGAAAUUAAAUUGGCAAUACUGAAUUAUUGUUGAUAAUUAUUGUUAAUAUCCAAUAUCUUCAAAAAAAAAACGAUAAUUGACAAAGUCGUAACAAUCAGUGAAUCAAACAAACAUCUUUGUUUCCCACCUUAAUUACUUAUCUCACAGAUAAUGUUUUUUAUUGGUGACGUUUUAUCCAUAUUCUUACACAACCCUUGUGCCGUUUAAUUCGGUUCAGUUUGUUUCUUGCUGUUGUCGCGUACGGGAACUAACGUCUCAUAAAUAGAGUUCAAAUUUUGCGGUUUAAAAUUUUUAAAUUCGUUAGUAAGUGCGUGUUGUUUGUGGUUAGUGUGUGCUUGUGGAAUGGAUUUCAAGGGAGAAAAGGAGAAAACAAUGCAGAUUAAAGGUAAGUCUGUUUAAGAAGAUGAUGCGAUGGGACUUCCUACUAACUGUCAUAAAGGUCAGUGCAAUUUUUUUUUAUUAAUUGCGGUGAAUUGAGGCGUUGAAAAGUUAUAGAUGUUUAUACACGUUGUAUUUAAGAUAUAACGUAAGAU